AAAAUUAAAAGGACGCGGUAACCUUGACCGUGAUAAUGUAGCAUAAUCAUUCGCCAUUUAAUUGAUGGAUAGUAUGAAUGGUUGAACGAAUAUUCCACUGUCUUAAAAAGAAAUACCAAAAAAUUAAAAUAAUAGUAAAGAUUCUAUUUAAAAUUGUAAGACGAAAAGACCCUAUAGAGCUUAACUAUAAAUUUUCUAAGUAUUAAUUAUUAAAGAAAAUUUGGUAGUUUAGUUGGGGCGACUGUCUUUUAAAAAUAACAAAGAUAAGCAAAAUUAAUAUUAAAAAUUUAUUGUCUAAUUAAUGAAUUUAACAAUUACAAAAGUAGGCUAUAAUGACCCGUUAUUAUUAAAUAAAGAAAAAUAACGAUCAAUAAAUAAAAGCUACCUUAGGGAUAACAGGAUAAUUUUAUUCUAGAGAUCUAAUCGAAAAUAAAGUUUGUCACCUCUAUGUUGAAUUAAGA
rnacentral:rRNA from 1 species